AUGGUUACUAUCCAUAGAGCGCCGGCCGUUCACUCGCGGAGAGCUGUCUCCCUGUCUGUUCACCUGAGAACCUGCCGAAGCCUCUCCGCUGUUUUUGUACGGCGGCUCAAUGAGUUUGUAUCACUGUGGUACACGUUCGGUGGAGGAACCAGACUGGAUGUUGGAAGUGAUGUCCGUCCCACCCUGACGGUGCUGCCCCCCUCCAGUGAGGAGCUGCAGCAGGGGAAGGCCACGCUCAUGUGCCUGGCCAACAAGGGCUUCCCCUCAGACUGGAGUCUGGCCUGGAAGGUGGACGGCAGCAGCAGCAGCAGCAGCAGCUGGGAGGAGAGCAGGAGCCCCGGGGUGCUGGAGAAGGACGGCCGCUACAGCUGGAGCAGCACCCUGAGGCUCCCUGCAGACC